rnacentral:misc_RNA from 1 species
GUCGCCACCUCCACCCGCCUCCUUCCUUCUAUCUCUGUCGUCCGCCUCCUCCCUUCUGUCUCCGCCGCCAUAGAUUCCUCCCAGCCUCAUUUAUUUUCUCCACCGCCAUCUGGAGCACCAGCACCCAAUGUCCACACUUCCUCGUCGUUCGGCAUCAAUGCAUUCCCCCCACUCCGCCACCUGCUGUUCCCACCUCCUUCCCCACAGCUCAACAUCCCUACUUACCAGGGGGGGGGUCUACACGUAGGGACAUCGGGGAUGGCACGUCCGGCCACUGCAGGCGACGAGUGUCGUCUUGGUACUGGUUACCCCUAGGUUCUGUGGUACCCUUUAGGGCUUGUUCGGU